GCGCACGGGUGAGUAACGCGUGAGAAUCUGGCUCCAGGUCGGGGAUAACAGUUGGAAACGACUGCUAAUACCGGAUGUGCCGAGAGGUGAAAGAUUUAUUGCCUGGAAAUGAGCUCGCGUCUGAUUAGCUAGUUGGUGGUGUAAGGGACCACCAAGGCGUCGAUCAGUAGCUGGUCUGAGAGGAUGAUCAGCCACACUGGGACUGAGACACGGCCCAGACUCCUACGGGAGGCAGCAGUGGGGAAUUUUCCGCAAUGGGCGAAAGCCUGACGGAGCAAUACCGCGUGAGGGAGGAAGGCUCUUGGGUCGUAAACCUCUUUUCUCAAGGAAGAAGAAAGUGACGGUACUUGAGGAAUAAGCAUCGGCUAACUCCGUGCCAGCAGCCGCGGUAAUACGGAGGAUGCAAGCGUUAUCCGGAAUGAUUGGGCGUAAAGGGUCUGCAGGUGGAACUGAAAGUCUGCUGUUAAAGAGUUUGGCUUAACCAAAUAAAAGCGGUGGAAACUACAGAACUAGAGUGCGGUAGGGGCAAAAGGAAUUCCUGGUGUAGCGGUGAAAUGCGUAGAUAUCAGGAAGAACACCGGUGGCGAAAGCGUUUUGCUAGACCGUAACUGACACUGAGGGACGAAAGCUAGGGGAGCGAAUGGGAUUAGAUACCCCAGUAGUCCUAGCCGUAAACGAUGGAUACUAGGCGUGGCUUGUAUCGACCCGAGCCGUGCCGGAGCUAACGCGUUAAGUAUCCCGCCUGGGGAGUACGCACGCAAGUGUGAAACUCAAAGGAAUUGACGGGGGCCCGCACAAGCGGUGGAGUAUGUGGUUUAAUUCGAUGCAACGCGAAGAACCUUACCAAGACUUGACAUCCUGCGAAUCCUGGUGAAAGCUGGGAGUGCCUUAGGGAGCGCAGAGACAGGUGGUGCAUGGCUGUCGUCAGCUCGUGUCGUGAGAUGUUGGGUUAAGUCCCGCAACGAGCGCAACCCUCGUUUUUAGUUGCCAGCAUUAAGUUGGGCACUCUAGAGAGACUGCCGGUGACAAACCGGAGGAAGGUGAGGAUGACGUCAAGUCAGCAUGCCCCUUACGUCUUGGGCUACACACGUACUACAAUGCUACGGACAGAGGGCAGCGAGCCAGGGAUGGCAAGCGAAUCCAGAAACCGUAGCUCAGUUCAGAUCGAAGGCUGCAACUCGCCUUCGUGAAGGAGGAAUCGCUAGUAAUUGCAGGUCAGCAUACUGCAGUGAAUUCGUUCCCGGGCCUUGUACACACCGCCCGUCACACCAUGGAAGUUGGUCACGCCCGAAGUCAUUACCCCAACCGAAAGGAGGGGGAUGCCUAAGGUAGGACUGGUGACUGGGGUGAAGUCGUAACAAGG
rnacentral:rRNA from 1 species